rnacentral:rRNA from 1 species
GAUGAACGCUAGCGGCAGGCCUAACACAUGCAAGUCGAACGGUAACAGGUCCUUCGGGACGCUGACGAGUGGCGCACGGGUGCGUAACGCGUAUACAAUCUGCCUUUAAGCGGGAAAUAGCCCAUGGAAACGUGGAUUAAUGUCCCAUAGUAUAUAGGAGUCACCUGGCUUUUAUAUUAAACAUUUAUGGCUUAAAGAUGAGUAUGCGUCCUAUUAGUUAGUUGGUAAGGUAACGGCUUACCAAGACGUCGAUAGGUAGGGGUCCUGAGAGGGAGAUCCCCCACACUGGUACUGAGACACGGACCAGACUCCUACGGGAGGCAGCAGUGAGGAAUAUUGGACAAUGGGGGCAACCCUGAUCCAGCCAUGCCGCGUGCAGGAAGACUGCCCUAUGGGUUGUAAACUGCUUUUAUACAGGAAGAAACACCCCUACGUGUAGGGGCUUGACGGUACUGUAUGAAUAAGGAUCGGCUAACUCCGUGCCAGCCGCCGCCGUAACAC